UCCUACGGGAGGCAGCAGUGGGGAAUAUUGCACAAUGGGCGCAAGCCUGAUGCAGCGACGCCGCGUGGGGGAUGACGGCCUUCGGGUUGUAAACUCCUUUCGCUAGGGACGAAGCUUUUUGUGACGGUACCUAGAUAAGAAGCACCGGCUAACUACGUGCCAGCAGCCGCGGUAAUACGUAGGGUGCGAGCGUUGUCCGGAAUUACUGGGCGUAAAGGGCUCGUAGGUGGUUUGUCGCGUCGCCUGUGAAAUUCCGGGGCUUAACUCCGGGCGUGCAGGCGAUACGGGCAUAACUUGAGUACUGUAGGGGUAACUGGAAUUCCUGGUGUAGCGGUGAAAUGCGCAGAUAUCAGGAGGAACACCGAUGGCGAAGGCAGGUUACUGGGCAGUUACUGACGCUGAGGAGCGAAAGCAUGGGUAGCGAACAGGAUUAGAUACCCUGGUAGUCCAUGCCGUAAACGGUGGGCGCUAGGUGUGAGGGUCUUUUCACGACUUUCGUGCCGUAGCUAACGCAUUAAGCGCCCCGCCUGGGGAGUACGGCCGCAAGGCUAAAACUCAAAGGAAUUGACGG
rnacentral:rRNA from 1 species